UACAGAGGGGGCCAGCGUUAUUCGGAAUUAUUGGGCGUAAAGGGCGCGUAGGCGGCCAUGCGUGUCUUCCGUGAAAUCCCUCGGCUUAACUGAGGACGUGCGGAAGAAACUGCAAGGCUUGAGUCCGGGAGAGGGGGGUGGAAUUCCCAGUGUAGCGGUGAAAUGCGUAGAUAUUGGGAGGAACACCAGUGGCGAAGGCGACUACCUGGCCUGUUCUUGACGCUGAGGCGCGAAAGCUAGGGGAGCAAACGGG
rnacentral:rRNA from 1 species